rnacentral:lncRNA from 1 species
GGCUGUUGCCUUGGCAACAGGUCUGCGGGUCCCACCUAUGAGAUGCCAUGGGUUUCAGAAGUCCUGAUGCCACAAUGUCCAGCUUUGUCUCUCAGCAUCUCAUGCUCUCCAGACACUGAGAACAUCCAAAAGAGAUUGGACUCCGUGUCCAGUAAGCAGCCAGCGACAUCAGUUGCCAUCCCAUCAGCCCAGGUAUCUGGACCACAGGCAUCAGUUGAAUGGAACAGGCAAGCCGCUGAGAACUGUUGACACAGCCUGAGUGGGUGGACAGGGGACAAGGCAGCCCUGACCCCAUGAGUCACCCAGUACGACUGGUGUGUUUUCAGUUCCAUUCAGACCCUGCUUCCCACUGCUGAGCAGAGGUGAGUCACAGAUUGGUGGACAGUGAAGCUGGUCCCGCCCACCUGGCCACACCCAUUUCCCACCUACAUGCCCCAAGCCCUGCUUUCGUCUGUGUGUUUACUCUGGAGGCAGCAGACGUGGCCUUUGUCACCUUUCAUCAUCCCCAGCACAUGGCAUGUGACACAAUUGCUGCUUGCCCGCCUGCCUAACCUGAAAGUGGAAACCUCUCUGAGGGGCUGACUGGGAGGGACUGGGGCUCUGGGGGGAAACUGAGGAGGAAGAAUCACUGAAGAUGAAGCUGAUCUGCCAGGAGCUUCUAACACCUGGCCUGCCCACAGCUGCCAGGACAGUCUAGCCCUCAACCCCUUCAUUGUCACACCUCUGGAAAGGACUUAGCAUAUAUUAUGCUGUAGGCAUGUCCCCAGUGUGUUGAAAGCUCAGUCCCCAGCUGGUGGCGCUGGUGACAGGUGAUUGGACAUGAUCUGCUGAUGAGUUUCAUAGUUGAUUGACAAGUGGGGGUGGGGCCUAUUUGAAGAAGUAGGUCACUGAGGGUCCUCCCUCCCACCAAGAAGCAAACAGCCCUGCUCGACUGUGGCCUCUUGCCACGAUACUCUAACCCAUCGAUGCCUAGAGGGCUGGAGCAAAGUGACCAUGAACUGAAGCCUCUGAAUGUGUGAGCCGAAAUGAAUCUUUCUUACGUUGUUUUCUCUCCGUGAGAAACACUAAAACAAGAGCCAGCCAUUCUGUGAGGAGAAACAAGGGCCUUCUCAGUUAGAGGCCUUGACUUGGGAUGUCCUGGAGGUGCAUGUAAAAAUAAUACCUCUGUGAAUCUCUGU